CAAAACAUAUGCUCUCCAUCGAGCUUCUAGUUUUCGGAGUUGAGACCGGGGAAAGUUGAGAAGGGAGCUGUGUUGGUCGGUUCUUUUUCCGCAAAAGAGGUAUCACUUUUUAAAAGUAUAAUCUCUUCAAACCUUUUUAACUUUUGGAGUUUGAGACGGGACAUUCAAGCUGAAAUGGGAAUUAGCAUUCGAUUGGUCCUGAUAUUCAGAGUUUGUUUCGUACGUCCAUUCAAAUCAGUUUCCGGCCCGGUGAGUGGAGUUGCUUUGCCUUGGAUGACAGGCGCGAGAAAAGUUGGAACGGUGUAAACUCUUUACAUGCAGCGUCGCUCCUCAAAAACAUAUGCUCUCCAUCGAGCUUCUAGUUUUCGGAGUUGAGACUGGGGAAAGUUGAGAAGGGAGCUGUGUUGGUCUGUGUUUUUUCCGCAAAAGAGGUACGAAGAUCAGUUCUCCACUGUAUAUUGUUAUGCAAGUUAAAUGCUUUAUGUAACCCUUUAAGUUGUGUCAUUCUAAGGGAUGUUCAGUCAACAAACCAACAAAGUUUUGUCAUUCUUUCACUUAGCCAUCAAAUAAUAUUUUUGUAGAAAACAACUUGACAAUACCAUGUGUAUAUAUUUAGUGGUAAUUGUGAAAAUGAGCCUAACUUUUUUAUUUUUUGUUAUAUUAAUGUGAAUAUAGUAAGAAUAUAUUUUUAAAAAAAAUAGCGUGUCAAGUUGAUGAAACAAUAUACAUUAUAGAGUCUUUCUUUAGUACUAGGUUAAGAAUAAAAUUAUUCUGGGUAGCUUUUUCUCUAUACCAUCUAUGAGAGUGACAUUAUCGUCAUAUUGUAAGUUGCCGGUUGUUAUAUAUUUUCUUACAAUAUUUUAAGUGAUGAUAGAAACGUGUUCUACUAAAAUAGACAAGCAAGGUUGAGACUAUGUUUUGGUGGGGUGAGCCUGGCCCGAGCAGUAGUGCAGCACUUGGGCGACUCUCGAAGACCCCAAUAGCAAGCUAUUGUGGCGGGCCUUCCCCCUUAAAAAAUUAAAUUAAUAUCGUGUGGACCAUUGGCCCACAUAUCAGAUAUUAAACUGAUAAGAACAGAUACUACACUUGAUCUUAGCCAAAAGGCCGAGAAAGGUAUGCUUAGAAUGUUUGGCAGGUUUUGUUUAUAAGCCGAGCCCCACAACUCUCAACACAAAAUAACUCGUGGUGGUAUGUAACACCAAGUAGAAAUCAGCUGAGUAGUGCUAUAGGUCAGGGGAACUAAGUACGAGUAUAUAUAAUUUCGAGUACCAAUGUCAUGAAAUACCCACAUCUUAAUGCUAUUUUACAGAGUCAUUUCAGUUUACGAUUAUUUUGGUUUUGUUUUGAACCGACCAAAUGCUCACUCCAACUCAUGGAAAAGGAUUCUGGCUGAAGGAAAGUCGUAUGUAUUAGCAUCUAUCUGGCACAGAGGGCUUGCUGUUUGUUAAAUUAUAAGUUUCAGCUGUCUGAUAUUCAAUCGGACUCUUUGGACUAGUUAGCCGUAACUGGUACAAGACUAAAUCUUAUCUGUGUGUGUUUGUAUGCAUCGUAUUAUUGUAUCUUGUUGCUAUGUCAUGUAAUGCACAAGUAUGUAAGAAGCAUUAACUGUCUAUGUUUAGACUUGUCUUGAGUUUACUUUCUUAUCUGAGGUAUGAAUUAAUGUUUUGCUGCAUGUAUUUGUGGUUACUAAUCCAAGGACUGGUCUUUGCUAGGUUUUUUUUCUUCAAGUUGCUGCCCCCUCCAGUUCACCGUAGUAGACAUGCCAGUCAAAUAUUCUGAAACAUCUCUAUUUGUAUUUGGAUAAAAAUUUAAACCCUAAUGAGUUGAAAUUGCGUGUUUUAUAACGGAUUUGAAACCUGUCUUCCGAGUUUAGGACUUUGUUAGAAAGUGUUUUAUGUUGGACCAUUUUGGAUCUGAAUUGUUUUGAUCUGUUACA